CAGAAAGUAGUUUAAUAAAAAAUUUAGGUUUUGGAAAUCUAGGAUGCUUAGUAGUCUUUCUGA
rnacentral:tRNA from 1 species